CUCAAAAUCGCAUUCAAAUUGUUAUUUGGUUCUUACACUUAAGAAAAUUAAAAUUAAGCCUUUCACAUAAUGAGUUUUCUGUGCUUGAGUCGUUGACAUAUGGAUGUUUCAUUUGGCACUUAUAAAAUUUUAACUUGGAGAAUUUUUUAAUUAUUUGGGAUUUAUCUUCUAAGCAGUUGCUAAUAUAUUGAUUACACGUAUGGAUGUAUUAUAGUAUUAGUUUCAGGACGACAGAAGCUCUUCGGUUUUCUCAACUAUAUAUAAGAAGCGUCUGUGGCUUGGAACUGUGGUCAUUGGACACCAAACGAAUUGCGGAGUCGAUGAGCUAGCCGAAUAGGGAUAAUCGUAACGGCGGUCCGUUUUCAAUUUCUGGAAAUUUUUUUUACGUUUGCCAAGCAUAGCUUGUAUGUCUAGCAAUCAUUAAUCUCCCGUAAUCUCUUCGUAAAAUUACCAAGUGGUGUGAGCAUCUGGAAAGGUAAGAGGAAUCUUGUUCACAGAACCAACAUAAGUAUCAUCAACGAUCAGGGUUCCGUGAUCGAACAAGUUGUUUAACUAAUUAACUGACUAAUAUCAUUCGAUUUAACGGUUAAUAUUGAAUUCAAAAGUGUUUGAAAGAUUAAUCGACUUUUAGCGUAAUUAUGAAAUUUUUAUAAUGAAU